UCCGACAAAGGCAAAACCGGUGAAAGCCGGUGACGCAAAGCCAUGGGUCUACCGUCACGCAAGUGACCACGAUCGCCAGGCCGCCGAGA
rnacentral:ncRNA from 1 species